GUGAGUCAUCGAAUCUUUGAACGCACAUUGCGCUCUCUGGUAUUCCGGGGAGCAUGCCCGUUUCAGAAUCACAAAAAACACCUCUCUUUCCUUCUGGACAGGGGAAUAGUGGAUGGUUUGUGCGUAAAAACGCAAUCAUCUUAAUGACAUUGUGCAAUGCUACCAACUACGUUUUGGUCGGCUUCCCAAAGUGCAACAAAUUCGUUAACGCUUUGGUAGCUGCCAGAACCGGUUGGCGAAAUGCGCUCUGCCAAGGGUAAAAUGAAAGGCUGUCCUCGCGUGCUGUCACCAGCUGGCUUG
rnacentral:misc_RNA from 1 species